CUGGGGGAGGGAAUGACCCUGUGGGGGGAUGAAUACACAGACGAAACAGCUGAACUAACGUAGUCGUCCUGUGAAGGAGUGGGCGGAGUCUCCGCUUGGGUUACCAGGUGAGAGGCUGGGUGCACCUUGUUAGGUUACCUGGAUUGUGACGUAAUAAUCCACAGGUUUUUGAAACAGCUCAUUUGUUGACACUAACAAAACAUUUACAUACUGAAGCAUAAAAAUAUGGAAAAAAGCUGAAUUUUGCAUAAUAGGUCCCCUUUAAACCUAAAUAAACACAAGGCUUGUUUGGGUUAAACCCUCGUGUUUUUGCCCUCAGACAGUGUUAUAGCUAAUUAAAACAGCUCUGAACCAAGGUGAAACAAUAAUAUAGCUCUGAAUAAACACAUUUUUAAAUAAAAACAUCAGCACACCUGUGCUAUCACCUAUCUGACAACCUGUGAGACGUGGCUGUAUUUGCGUACAGAGCAGGUAAAUGACCUCCGACUGCAGAAACAAUUUGGGCGCAUUAACCACCAGGUGUGAGUUCACCCAGAGGUGACAACCUGCAGAUAAACGACAACUCUGAAGAGCCUCUACACAAAGAAACGGGGCAGGUUUACAUGUUUGCUUGUGUACGCAGGAAAACAUCAAAUAAUAUUAAAAACCUGAACCUCUCUGUAACUCUACCUCGGCCCUGGUUGCUUUGAGCAGAGAGCCGCCUCGAUGUGGGCGGGAUCAAAAUAUUAAACACGCAUGAAUCUUAUUUUAUUUUAUGACUGCACCAAACUCAAAAGUAAAGUACUGAAGACUGUACAGGACCAUCCAGCUGUAUGAGGCAGGACGACAGAGAACUGUAAGCUAAUGGUGGCUAAUGUUAGCUUGUUGUGGUUGUAGAACCAACAUUCAUGUUUUUGGUCUGUGGGAGGAAAACAGACUACCCGGAUAAAACCAACGCAUGCACAGAGAGAACACGCACCCAGAAAGGUCCCCGGCCGGGAUUCGAUCCGACAACCUUCUUGCUGAGAGGCAACAGCUCUACCAACAGUCUGCAGUUUGAACCCAAGGAGUCAGCUGAGAUUUCACCUCAAACGGGUGUCGAUUCCAGCUGCCUGUGUUUGCUGAUGAUGUUUGUGUUUUCGUUAAGUGUCACAGGCAGACAGAAGUGCUGAGGGGAGCCCCGGCAGCAGACAGACUCACGCAGCUCCACUAAACGACUCACGAGUGAGUCAGAAACAUCUAACUGCAACAGUUCAGUCGGCUCGGCCGUCGAGAAACUGAGAAGUCAGCUGCAGCUCAGUGACAGGCAGCGGUCCUGAAAACCCACAAUAACUUCAGAGAGUUUACAGUGGUGCAGUUUUAGCUGUUUUUAAUUUUAACGUUUUUUUCUUGGAACAAAAAAAAAAAAAAAGAAUUGAAACAUCUUUAGAGGCCAACAUAGAACAAAAGAAGCAUUCCUUUAAUGCAGAUCACCUGCCACCUUACAGGACCAGGUUUUAUCCAAAGAUCAGGUGCCAUCUGUUACAUGUUCGGGAUGACGCUCAACUACCACCACACCAGAUUUUAGCUCAGCAUCUGUAAAAUUAUUGGAGUUAUAGACAGCUUUGGCGACCAUUUUGAACUGAGUUGACUUAAAAAAAAGCUGCAGAUGUAUAUUUAAUGAUUAAUUUCUGGGAGUUUUAUUAAAAUCCCUCCAGUGGUUUAUGAGAUAUUUUGCUAACACACAGAAAUGGACAAUUACAUGAUUAUUUGCCUUUUGUAUCGACUGGCAAUAACAAGUGACAAGUGAGUUUUUCAAUCAAAUAGUUGCUGUUUGCUUCAACUCUACUGUAAUAUUUAUAUUUAGUCAUUUUUUUAAGUAAAAUAAAAAUAUUAUUUGAUGUAUUUAAGUUACAA